rnacentral:tRNA from 1 species
GGGGCUGUAGUGUAGUUUGGUAUCAUUGGGGGUUCGGGGCCUCCAAACCGGGGUUCAAAUCCUCGCAGCCCCA